GACGAACGCUGGCGGCGUGCUUAACACAUGCAAGUCGAACGGUGAAGCGAGUGCUUGCACUCGUGGAUCAGUGGCGAACGGGUGAGUAACACGUGAGUAACCUGCCCAUCACUCUGGGAUAAGCACUGGAAACGGUGUCUAAUACUGGAUACGACCAACCCUUGCAUGGGGUGUUGGUGGAAAGAUUUAUCGGUGAUGGAUGGACUCGCGGCCUAUCAGCUUGUUGGCGGGGUAAUGGCCCACCAAGGCGACGACGGGUAGCCGGCCUGAGAGGGUGACCGGCCACACUGGGACUGAGACACGGCCCAGACUCCUACGGGAGGCAGCAGUGGGGAAUAUUGCACAAUGGGCGAAAGCCUGAUGCAGCGACGCCGCGUGAGGGAUGACGGCCUUCAGGUUGUAAACCUCUUUCAGCAGGGAAGAAGCGAAAGUGACGGUACCUGCAGAAGAAGCACCGGCUAACUACGUG
rnacentral:rRNA from 1 species